rnacentral:rRNA from 1 species
CCUACGGGUGACAGCAGUGGGGAAUAUUGCACAAUGGGGGAAACCCUGAUGCAGCGACGCCGCGUGAGUGAAGAAGUAAUUCGUUACGUAAAGCUCUAUCAGCAGGGAAGAAACACUGACCUUACGGUCAGCAGACGGUACCUGAGUAAGAAGCCCCGGCUAACUACGUGCCAGCAGCCGCGGGAAUACGUAGGGGGCAAGCGUUAUCCGGAUUUACUGGGUGUAAAGGGAGCGUAGACGGUGCGCCAAGUCUGGAGUGAAAUGCCGCAGCUUAACUGCGGAACUGCUUUGGAAACUGGCGAACUAGAGUGCUGGAGGGGGAAGCAGAAUUCCUAGUGUAGCGGUGAAAUGCGUAGAUAUUAGGAGGAACACUGGUGGCGAAGGCGGCUUACUGGACCGUAACUGACGUUGAGGCUCGAAAGCGUGGGGAGCAAACAGGAUUAGAUACCCGAGUAGUC